rnacentral:rRNA from 1 species
GACGAACGCUGGCGGCGUGCCUAAUACAUGCAAGUAGAACGCUGAAGAGAGGAGCUUGCUCUUCUUGGAUGAGUUGCGAACGGGUGAGUAACGCGUAGGUAACCUGCCUUGUAGCGGGGGAUAACUAUUGGAAACGAUAGCUAAUACCGCAUAACAAUGGAUGACUCAUGUCAUUUAUUUGAAAGGGGCAAAUGCUCCACUACAAGAUGGACCUGCGUUGUAUUAGCUAGUAGGUGAGGUAACGGCUCACCUAGGCGACGAUACAUAGCCGACCUGAGAGGGUGAUCGGCCACACUGGGACUGAGACACGGCCCAGACUCCUACGGGAGGCAGCAGUAGGGAAUCUUCGGCAAUGGGGGCAACCCUGACCGAGCAACGCCGCGUGAGUGAAGAAGGUUUUCGGAUCGUAAAGCUCUGUUGUAAGUCAAGAACGAGUGUGAGAGUGGAAAGUUCACACUGUGACGGUAGCUUACCAGAAAGGGACGGCUAACUACGUGCCAGCAGCCGCGGUAAUACGUAGGUCCCGAGCGUUGUCCGGAUUUAUUGGGCGUAAAGCGAGCGCAGGCGGUUUGAUAAGUCUGAAGUUAAAGGCUGUGGCUCAACCAUAGUUCGCUUUGGAAACUGUCAAACUUGAGUGCAGAAGGGGAGAGUGGAAUUCCAUGUGUAGCGGUGAAAUGCGUAGAUAUAUGGAGGAACACCGGUGGCGAAAGCGGCUCUCUGGUCUGUAACUGACGCUGAGGCUCGAAAGCGUGGGGAGCGAACAGGAUUAGAUACCCUGGUAGUCCACGCCGUAAACGAUGAGUGCUAGGUGUUGGAUCCUUUCCGGGAUUCAGUGCCGCAGCUAACGCAUUAAGCACUCCGCCUGGGGAGUACGACCGC